rnacentral:rRNA from 1 species
UACGAAGGGGGCUAGCGUUGUUCGGAGUUACUGGGCGUAAAGGGUGUGUAGGCGGUUGUUUAAGUUUGGUGUGAAAUCUCCCGGCUCAACCGGGAGGGUGCGCCGAAUACUGAGUGACUAGAGUGCGGGAGAGGAAAGUGGAAUUCCUGGUGUAGCGGUGAAAUGCGUAGAUAUCAGGAGGAACACCGGUGGUGUAGACGGCUUUCUGGACCGUAACUGACGCUGAGACACGAAAGCGUGGGUAGCAAACAGG